rnacentral:rRNA from 1 species
AUUGAACGCUGGCGGUAUGCUUAACACAUGCAAGUCGAACGGCAGCACGAGAAAGCUUGCUUUCUUGGUGGCCGAGUGGCGGACGGGUGAGUAAUGCAUAGGAAUCUACCUCGAAGCGGGGGAUAACCCGGGGAAACUCGGGCUAAUACCCGCAUAAUCUCUACGGAGGAAAGCAGGGGAUCUUCGGACCUUGCACUUUGAGAUGAGCCUAUGUCAGAUUAGCUAGUUGGUAGGGUAAAGGCCUACCAAGGCAAUGAUCUGUAGCUGGUCUGAGAGGACGAUCAGCCACACUGGGACUGAGACACGGCCCAGGAACUCCUACGGGAGGCAGCAGUGGGGAAUAUUGGACAAUGGGCGCAAGCCUGAUCCAGCAAUGCCGCGUGUGUGAAGAAGGCCUGGUGUAAGC